UUCAAACUCAAAAUCAAUAAUUCAUCGUUAGCUGUUUAAAAUUCUCAGAAAAAUGUCAUUCAUCGAAGAAUUUCAAGCCAAUAUCGAAGCUCUUCCGAACCAUUUGCGGAGGAAGUAUGCGUUGCUGCGUGAUUUGGAUAAAAGUCUGCAAGGAGUCCAGACCCAAAAUGAACAACGUUGUGACAAAGAAAUAGAGGAUAUGAUACAGCGUAUUAAGGCUGGUAAUGUGACACCAGACUCUUCACUAAUCAAAUUCUCUGACGAUGCAUUGGAUGAGCAAAAGCAUGCAAUCAGGAUUGCUGAUGAAAAAGUUGCACUAGCUUCUCAGGCAUAUGAUCUGGUAGAUGCUCAUAUUCAGCAGCUUGAUCAGUACUUGAAAAAGUUUGACGAAGAUCUCCGGAGAGAACGGGAUACUGCUGUUGUUACUGGAGCUCCUGCUACCACUGUUGAAAAUAAUGUCAAAUCUGGAA
rnacentral:misc_RNA from 1 species